UACGUAGGUGGCAAGCGUUGUCCGGAUUUACUGGGCGUAAAGAGCGCGCAGGCGGUCGUUCAAGUCGCGUGUGAAAGCCCCCGGCUCAACUGGGGAGGGUCACGCGAUACUGAUCGACUCGAAGGCAGGAGAGGGUAGUGGAAUUCCCGGUGUAGUGGUGAAAUGCGUAGAUAUCGGGAGGAACACCAGUGGCGAAGGCGGGUAGCUGGGCCGACACUGACGCUGAAGCGCGAAAGCCAGGGGAGCGAACGGG
rnacentral:rRNA from 1 species